CCUACGGGAGGCAGCAGUGAGGAAUAUUGGUCAAUGGACGAGAGUCUGAACCAGCCAAGUAGCGUGAAGGAUGACGGCCCUAUGGGUUGUAAACUUCUUUUAUAGGGGAAUAAAAUGUGCCACGUGUGGGAUUUUGUAUGUACCAUAUGAAUAAGGAUCGGCUAACUCCGUGCCAGCAGCCGCGGUAAUACGGAGGAUCCGAGCGUUAUCCGGAUUUAUUGGGUUUCAAGGGAGCGUCGGUGGAUUGUUAAGUCAGUUGUUAAAGUUUUCGGCUCAACCGUAAAAUUGCAGUUGAAACAGGCAGUCUUGAUUACAGUCGAGGUGGGCGGAAUUCGUGGUGUAGCGGUGACAUGCUUAGAUCUCACGAAGAACUCCGAUUGCGAAGGCAGCUCACUGGACUGCAACUGACACUGAGGCUCGCAAGUGUGGGUAUCAAACAGGAUUAGAUACCCGGGUAGUC
rnacentral:rRNA from 1 species